CAGAGGGUGCAAACGUUGUUCGGAAUUACUGGGCGUAAAGCGAGUGUAGGCGGUUUUGGUAAGUCGGAUGUGAAAGCCCCGGGCUCAACCCGGGAAGUGCACUCGAUACUGCCAAGCUAGAGUAUCGGAGAGGUUGGUGGAAUUCUCGGUGUAGAGGUGAAAUUCGUAGAUAUCGAGAGGAACACCGGUGGCGAAGGCGGCCAACUGGACGAAUACUGACGCUGAGACUCGAAAGCGUGGGGAGCAAACAGG
rnacentral:rRNA from 1 species